CUCACACUUUAGAAGAACUGUAAGUCUUAACUCUCAAAGUCAUUGUCUCUCAUUAGUGCAGAUGUUGCCCCUAGUAUUCAUUACAAUUUGUCUCCUAAAGGAGACUGCUGGUGAAGAUGUCAUAAAACCAGUCGUCACAGAGAAGCAUGUUUUGGAAGGAAAAGAUGUUACACUGAUCUGCAAAUACACUGAGACUGUUCGCAGUUUACAAUGGUAUCGUCAGUAUCCUGGAUCCAAACCUGAGCACCUCAUCACGUUCUAUGAGACCACUCCACAUAAAGAGACCACUCUCCGUCUGAACGCUGCGGCUGAUAAAACAGCCA